AGAGUUUGAUCCUGGCUCAGGAUGAACGUUGGCGGCAUGCUUAACACAUGCAAGUCGAACGCAGGCUUCGGCCUGAGUGGCGAACGGGUGCGUAACACGUAGGUGACCUGGCCUGGAGUGGGGGAUAACCCUCGGAAACGGGGGGCUAAUACCGCAUGGUCUAGUAGAGUUUUGAAAUCUACUAGUAAAGCUCGAUGUGCUCUAGGGGGGGCCUGCGGCCUAUCAGGUAGUUGGUGGGGUAAAAGCCUACCAAGCCGAUGACGGGUAGCUGACCUGAGAGGGUGGUCAGCCACAGGGGAACUGAGACACGGUCCCCACUCCUACGGGAGGCAGCAGUGAGGAAUAUUGGGCAAUGGGGGCAACCCUGACCCAGCAAUGCCGCGUGCGGGAGGACGCCCUUCGGGGUGUAAACCGCUUUUGUGAGGGAGGAGCAAGGACCGUACCUCACGAAGAAGUCACGGCUAACUACGUGCCAGCAGCCGCGGUAAUACGUAGGUGGCGAACGUUAUCCGGAGUUACUGGGCGUAAAGGGUCCGCAGGCGGGGGCGCAAGUCUGACGUGAAAUCUUCUGGCUUAACUAGAAGAGGUCGUUGGAAACUGCGUCUCUAGCAUCCCGCAGAGGUCGGUGGAAUUCCCGGUGUAGUGGUGGAAUGCGUAGAGAUCGGGAGGAACCUCGAAAGCGAAGGCAGCCGGCUGGGCGCGGAUGGACGCUGAGGGACGAAAGCGUGGGGAGCGAACAGGAUUAGAUACCCUAGUAGUCC
rnacentral:rRNA from 1 species